UAAUGGCCUCAGUGGCCGCCGAUAUUAA
rnacentral:sRNA from 1 species